rnacentral:tRNA from 1 species
GGGGUUGUAGCUCAGUUGGUAGAGCGUUUGCCUAGCAUGUGUGAGGUACUGAGUUCGUUCCUCAGGACCUCG